rnacentral:rRNA from 1 species
GAAGCGAAAGUAAAAUUUCGUGGAGGUCCGAACCCACGAGCGUUGAAAAGCUCGGGGAUGACUUGUGGGUAGCGGUGAAAUUCCAAUCGAGCCCGGAGAUAGCUGGUUCUCCCCGAAAUAGCUUUAGGGCUAGCCUCAAGGUGAGAGAUACGGAGGUAGAGCACUGAAUGUCCUAGGGGGUAUUGCACCUACCGAAGACUAUCAAACUCCGAAUGCCGUCAUCUUAUACUUGGGAGUCAGACUGUGGGUGAUAAGAUUCAUAGUCGAAAGGGCAACAGCCCAGAUCGUCAGCUAAGGUCCCUAAAUGUAAGUUAAGUGGUAAAGGAUGUGGGAUUGCACAGACAACCAGGAUGUUGGCUUAGAAGCAGCCACUCAUUCAAAGAGUGCGUAAUAGCUCACUGGUCGAGUGAUCCUGCGCCGAAGAUUUCCGGGGCUAAAACUUACUACCGAAGCUACGGCAUCAGUAAUGAUGGGUAGGGGAGCUUCCCAUACGGGUUGAAGCAUGACCGUAAGGACAUGUGGACAGUAUGGGAGUGAGAAUGUUGGCAUGAGUAGCGAGAUGUGGGUGAGAAUCCCACAGGCCGUAAACCCAAGGUUGCCAGGGGAAGGUUCGUCCGCCCUGGGUUAGUCGGGACCUAAGCUGAGGCCGAAAGGCGUAGGUGAUGGACAACAGGUUGAUAUUCCUGUACUACCGAUAACCGUUUGAGAGA